rnacentral:lncRNA from 1 species
GAUUGUAUAAGACCUCUUUUGAACACAAGUUCACAAUUCAGAUUCACCGCAGUUCAUCGUGGCCCUGUCGUUCGCCUACUUCACCAAAGCUCUGUCAGGGACCUACAUGAAGAGUGCCAUCACUCAGAGAGACACUUUGACCUGUCCGGCUCUCUCAUCGGACUCAUAGACGGCAGCUUUGAGAUGGGUAUCAACAAUAACAAUGAGUUGCUUGAGAAUUCAUGUAGUAAAAACUAGAUACACAAUACAGUAUGAUCCGUUUUUUUUGUGGUUCAGAGUCUGCUCUCAAUACUGUCCAGUUUUAUAGUUGUUCCUAUUAAUUGAUUGACUGGCGUUUGUCCAUGACUCUACUGUCAAACCCCUAACAUUGUUUUAUGUGCUGCUAUGUUGUUGCAGCCUAGUAUCCAAACUGAUAUGCCAUUUUUUGUUUAAAAAAAAAAAAAAUGCGCAUGGGUGCAGUUUCUUGUCCUCCUCGUUCCGCUGUGAAAGUACCGCACCAGCUCCGGUUUCCGAGGCGUCCACCUCUACCACAAAGGGACGAGUAGGAUCAGGAUGAACGAGGAAUGGGUUCGGAGGUGAAACGUCCCUUGAGCUCUAUGAAUGCCCUGUCAGCCUCGGGAUUCCAGCAAAAAACAGCUUGAGUGAGGUGGGACAGGGCCUUAUGUGUUCCGGAAGGGUUUUUGGAGAAGAUCAGGAUAUCGUCGAGGUAAACAAAGACGAACCGAUUCAACAUAUCCCUAAGAGUGUCAUUGAUCAAUGCUUGAAAGACUGCCGAUUUUAAGCGUUGCGGAGGUCCAGUUUGGUGAAGAAUUGGGCUCCUAGGGCCAACUCCAAGGCGGCGGACAUCGGGUUUGUUGAACAUGAGUGGAAAUGAAACUCCAGCACACUGGUAGCACUAAAGACGUUUGAGUAUAACUUCUCCAGUCUGGCACUAAGUGUGACAACGUUAAGGUGGCUUGUCUGACCGUGUCCCACAACGGGUCCCCUGGUGUACGAUGGCAGCCUGUUGUCAGAGUGUAACAGAGACUGCUCCUGCUUGGCUGGGGAGUGGGACCCUGUGUGUUCAGACAACGGCAUCACCUACACCUCCCCCUGCCUCGCAGGCUGCUCCAGCUUUACAGAGUGAUCUUCCUUGGACUCAUCACAUGUCUCAGUGGCUCCUCCUUAGGAGGGAGGGGGACAGCCCCCACACUCAUCACUAGAGAUCGAACUUCAGACUCCCUCCAAAACCACUGAACCCCUCAACACACCGAAAGAGAUUAAGGUGCACACCCGUAGAGGGAGCCGGAACAGGAUAACUCCCUCCAAACUCACAAAGACACAGAGGAGGAGGAACUAUCCAACACCCAGGGAGAGAGAACGAGUGACCUCAGUCGAACACAGUCAGAAAGAGGAGGUGGAAGAGGCGUUAGAUAGAGGAGGUUACCCCAGAGGCCAUUCCUCCUGUUAAUGUGACCAAGAAAGAGCAGAAGGCUUCUGAUCAGCCAAAUGGCAGGCAGAGGGAGAGGUCAUAGUGAUUCACACCCACAGAGAGAAAGACAACCCACACAACCUCUUAGUUGAGAUGAACCACACAGAGGUAGAGGCAGAGGGCCUUCAGGGCUAGCCAGUCAGCCUGCCUGCUCUGAUCCUCAAGUCAAUUGUAUUUAAAUUCAUGUUCAUUAAAGUUUUUUUAUUCAAGAAUUGAAAAGUCCCAUUUACUUAAUGAUCAUUUUUCACCAGCUUCAACCCUCAAGA